UCCUCGUUAGUAUAGUGGUGAGUAUCCCCGCCUGUCACGCGGGAGACCGGGGUUCGAUUCCCCGGUGGGGAG